GACGAACGCUGGCGGCGUGCUUAACACAUGCAAGUCGAAUGGAAAGGCCCUGCUUUUGUGGGGUGCUCGAGUGGCGAACGGGUGAGUAACACGUGAGUAACCUGCCCUUGACCUUGGGAUAACUUCAGGAAACUGGGGCUAAUACCGGAUAGGAGCUCCUGCUGCAUGGUGGGGGUUGGAAAGUUUCGGCGGUUGGGGAUGGACUCGCGGCUUAUCAGCUUGUUGGUGGGGUAGUGGCUUACCAAGGCUUUGACGGGUAGCCGGCCUGAGAGGGUGACCGGCCACAUUGGGACUGAGAUACGGCCCAGACUCCUACGGGAGGCAGCAGUGGGGAAUAUUGCACAAUGGGCGGAAGACUGAUGCAGCAACGCCGCGUGCGGGAUGACGGCCUUCGGGUUGUAAACCGCUUUCGCCUGUGACGAAGCGUGAGUGACGGUAAUGGGUAAAGAAGCACCGGCUAACUACGUG
rnacentral:rRNA from 1 species